rnacentral:rRNA from 1 species
CAACCUGCCCUUCAGAGGGGGACAACAGUUGGAAACGACUGCUAAUACCGCAUACGAUCCAACCUCGGCAUCGAGGAUGGAUGAAAGGUGGCCUCUAUUUAUAAGCUAUCACUGAAGGAGGGGAUUGCGUCUGAUUAGCUAGUUGGAGGGGUAACGGCCCACCAAGGCAAUGAUCAGUAGCCGGUCUGAGAGGAUGAACGGCCACAUUGGGACUGAGACACGGCCCAGACUCCUACGGGAGGCAGCAUG